rnacentral:lncRNA from 10 species
UUUCAGCCUCUAACCCUGGUGUUACCAGAGAUGUUGUAGGUUCUCUUUCAUCCUUGACCUUUUCCGUGGGGUGGGUCACAUCCUUUCUGCCCACUCACCAAUGGCCCUCAAACCUGCCCCACAUCCUUGACUUCUGCCUGUGUUCCCAACCUGUCUCUCCCACUGUUUCUGGACAUUUCUGUCCACAUGCCUCAAGACACAUUGACACACAACCUUCCCCAAACAGAACCCUUUAUCUUCCCACUCACACUCCCUUGAUAUAGCCUAUGGCCCCAACACCAGCCCCACACCGUCCUAUACUCCUCCCUCUCCUCAUGGUCAAUGGCCCACAGACGCUUCCAAGUGGACCUCUUAAUCCCCAUCACAUCCAUUCCUUCUUCCUCAUCCUUAACAACACAUCAAGCUGUCCAGCACCACUUCUUGUUUCCUUUCUAGCCUCCCUUUCUCCCAUUUUCUCACAUUGCUGGAAUGAUCUUGCUAAAAUACAGUUUAGUUGUAUCUGCCCCCACCCCCAGCUCUGGGGGCUAUUACACAGAGCUGCUUAUCAUUUGCUGUAAUUGUCAUGCCCUUUCACAUAUCUAUGGCUUAGCUCAUAUCAUUCCCCUAGCCCAGAAUUAUUCUUUACCCUUUCUGCCUUAUCACAAACUGCCUGGAAAUAAUAAAGCUUAGAGCAGGGUGAAAAAUAUAGAGAACAGAAGAAUGAUAGAGAAAAUUAAUGAAACCAAAGUUGGUUCUUUGAAAUGAUAAAAAAAAUUUGACAAACCUUUAACUAGACUGCCAAAGGAAAAGAAAGAUUCAAAUUACUAAAAUCAAGAACGAAAGAGACAAUUCCAUCUGCAUAUUUUUCAAAUAUAGACAAGUUGAUCUUAUAAUUCAUAUGGGAUUAAAGGAGCCCAGAAUAGCCCAAACAAUCCUGGAAACAAGGUUGGAGGAUGCACAGUUCUCUAAUUCAAAACUUACUACAAAGCAACAGUAAUCAAAAUUGGCACGAGAAUAACCAUAUAUAUCAGUGGACUAGAACUGACAGUCAAAAAAAGUCCUCACAUUGAAGGUGUCAAUGGAUUUUUUACAAGAAUUCUAAGACCAUUAAACAGAUGAAAGAAUAGUCUUUUUUUUACAAAUUAUAAAUGUUCAUCUCUAACACAUACC